AUUGAACGCUGGCGGCAGGCCUAACACAUGCAAGUCGAACGGUAACAGGAAGCAGCUUGCUGCUUCGCUGACGAGUGGCGGACGGGUGAGUAAUGUCUGGGAAGCUGCCUGAUGGAGGGGGAUAACUACUGGAAACGGUAGCUAAUACCGCAUAAUGUCGCAAGACCAAAGAGGGGGACCUUCGGGCCUCUUGCCAUCGGAUGUGCCCAGAUGGGAUUAGCUUGUUGGUGGGGUAACGGCUCACCAAGGCGACGAUCCCUAGCUGGUCUGAGAGGAUGACCAGCCACACUGGAACUGAGGCACGGUCCAGACUCCUACGGGAGGCAGCAGUGGGGAAUAUUGCACAAUGGGCGCAAGCCCGAUGCAGCCAUGCCGCGUGUAUGAAGAAGGCCUUCGGGUUGUAAAGUACUUUCAGCGGGGAGGAAGGGAGUAAAGUUAAUACCUUUGCUCAUUGACGUUACCCGCAGAAGAAGCACCGGCUAACUCCGUG
rnacentral:rRNA from 1 species